AUUUUGGCAAAGCCCAUGUAGAUUCAACUUCUGGUCAGUGGAGAUUAAGAUAUGGACCAUCCCCUACAUACACCCCACUACAUAUUAUCAGAGGGUUUUCUGUCAGCUUUAUGUAGUUAGGGAGAUGGCAUCUGCUGCCAUAGUUUCCAAAUCAGGGAAAAGAUGUCAUUUUUUCAGAGGGCUUCGGAUGACAUAGCAGUUGAAACAAGUGUGCAUCAAAUAUAGUUUCUAAAUCAGUUACAAGGGAUUUCAAGAACAUUCCUCUGACUGAAUAGCAUCUAGAAUGGGAAGUUCUUUUCCUUUGUUCUUCUCUAGGGAUUGCUCCUCUUUUAGCUCCACUGAUGCUGAACGUGCUUCUCGAUAUAGAUCCACAAAGGAGCAUGGAUGUCAUGGAGGAAGUGGUUGGAGCACGUGAAGUCCUUUGUUUGCUGGAGAAGAAGGUUAAAAAGGUGGGAUGUACCUGCUCUGCUUUUUCUGUAGCAGCAGCUAGGAUGUAUUUACAUUCUUGGGCUUGUUCUGUAUAGCACUGUAUGAGUUCAUUUUCUGCUUCAUUUUUUUGGGCUUUCGCCUGAUU